rnacentral:rRNA from 1 species
UAUGUGAUCGUCUCUCGCAUAUCAAUAAGCGGAGGAAAAGAAACUAACAAGGAUUCCCCUAGUAACGGCGAGUGAAGCGGGAAGAGCUCAAAUUUGAAAUCUUAAAGGGUUUCCCUUUACGAAUUGUAGUUUAAAGAAGUGUUUUCUGUUGAGGUUUUGGUAAAAGUUCUUUGGAAUAGGACAUCAUAGAGGGUGAGAAUCCCGUAUUUGACCUUUACUUUCAACUUUGUGAUACACUUUCAAAGAGUCGGAUUGUUUGGGAAUGCAGUCCAAAAUGGGUGGUAAAUUUCAUCUAAAGCUAAAUAUUGGCGAGAGACCGAUAGCGAACAAGUACCGUGAGGGAAAGAUGAAAAGAACUUUGAAAAGAGAGUUAAACAGUACGUGAGAUUGUCAAAAGGGAAGCGUUUGACACCAGUGUUGUUUUUCUGAAAAUCAAUUAAAGAACUGUUUAUGCUAAGCUGUUUAGACUUUAUCAGCUAACUGUUUAGUUUUGAGCUUUUCUUUAAUGCACUUUUCAGUUAACAAGUCAACAUCAAUUUCUUUUGCUGUAAAAAAGCUUGAGGAAGGUGGCUUGAGAUUCGUCUUAAGUGUUUAUAGCCUCUUGCCUAUGCAGUCGGAGAGAUUGAGGUCUGCAGCGUAGAUCCUUCGGGGCUAAAUGCAUUUGUGCUAAGUUAUAGCAUUUUAUAGACAACUUGUUGACUAUGAUUUGUCUUGUAGCUUACUCGCUUAUGUUAUUUUACCUACGCUUAGGAUGUUGAGUAGCGACAUACGCAC